ensembl:lncRNA
GAGAAAUGUAAAAAAAAAACAUUUAAUGUUAAAGCACAUUGUAUUUCUGUUUUCCUAAUCAAUGGUUUGUCUGUUUUCUAAGUGGUAUUGGGAUUUCUUUUUUUCAUAAAAAAGAGACAAAACGGAAAUGUCAAUUUAGCGAUAUGGAGGUGGAUCUCAUUUGGUAAAUAACGAUGAGCAAGCCCCUCUUUAGAUGUUUACACUGCAAUACCCCAACCCCUAAAACUGUUGUCUACCGGUCAGCUGACAAACCCUUUCACAUUAUUUGUGCCAGUUGCUGGUGGGUUUUCAUCAAGUGAUGUAAGCAUCAAGUGCUGUCACUUGAUGCCUACAUGACUGAAAAAAAUCAAAAUAAAAUACUAGGUCUUUUGAAAAGGUUUAUUUUUCCAGUGGGAGUUCAUACAUUAUCCGUUAUAAUCAAGGUUAAGGAAUUAAUCCUAAUCAAAUAUAUCUGUGUGGAAUCUGAAAUCGCCCGUAACCAGCAUACUCAAGACAAAGAGCGAUUGUCUACAUUGAUCUUUGUGUUUUAUUUCAAGCAAUACACCACACUAUUGACAGCGUUUUCUGCAUCGCGUCUGUCCCAUAGUUAUCAAGGUCAAACACAAUCAUUAAGGAAUAGGCUAUUUCUUUAGAGGUCUUCCCACAAAUCAUGUCUUUGUUUCUGUAUCUGUCCAUUUGCCAGCACAAGGCACUGUUGGAACUUUCCCACAGUUGUAUAUUGAACUUAUUUAUCAACAUAUUGUCAUAGCUAUACAGUGAUGAGGUUUUCAGGAAUAUUAAAGGGGUAUUUUACACCAAGCACCCUCACUAAUAACCUUUCCUCACAUAAAACACAAAGGGCUAGCCCAGUUCAAUUCCAAAUCAAAGUGUAUUUAAGGUUUUCGCGCUAUAUGAAGGAUAUGUCAUUGGAUGACUGAGGAUCAAGCUGAAUGGAGAAAUUCUGGAUGAAUGAGAAGGAUGGAAACCAUUGGAUUUCACCAUUGUACAUUUCUCAUUUUGGAAUUCAAGCAUAUAGCUGUAUCUACCUUGCAUAGAGUGUUGGACUUGGACUCAUGUUGAAAACGUAUUAAAUUUGACUUUGUCAUUGAACUACCCCUUUACAUUCAUACAGGCAGUCAGUGUUAUGUACAGUACCAGUCAAAGGUUUAUACACACCUAUUCAUUCAAGGGUAUUUCUUAAUUUUUAAAUAGUAAAAUAAUAGUAAAGACAUCAACACCAUGAAGGAAGACAUACGGAAUCAUGUAGUGUCAACAAAAAUCUAAAUACAAUUAUAUUUUUGAUUACUCAAAGCAGCCACCGUUUGCCUUGAUGACAGCUUUGCACAAUCUCUGCCAGCUUAAUGAGUCUCUCAGCCAGCUUAAUGAGUUAGUCACCUACAGUCUUGAAGGCGUUCCCACAUCUUCUGAGUACUUGCUGGCUGUUUUUCCUUCACCUUGCUGUCCAACACAUCCCAAACCACCUCUAUUGGGUUGAGGUACGGUAAUGGUGGAGGCUGUGUCAUUUGAUGCAGUCUACUUCUUGGUCAAACAGUCCCUUGUACAGCCUGGAGUUGUCUUUUGGCUCAUUGUCCUGUUGAAAAACAAAUGAUAGUCCCACUAAGCGCAAACCAGUUGGGAUGGCAUUUUGCUGCAGAAUGCUGUUGUAGUCAUUCUUGAUGAGUGUGCCUUGAAUUCUAUAUAAAACAUAGUGUCACCAACAAAACGCCCCCACGACUGCACUUGAAGAAACCUUCCAGAUUGACUGACCUUCAUGUAAUAAAGUAAUUAUUGACCUUUACUGUCAUUUUUGUUUGCUUGUUUGAGCUGUUGCCAUAAUAUGGACUACUACAGUACAUAUGUCUUCUGUAUACCAACCCUCUAUAACACAACUGAUGGGCACAUUAAGGAAAGAAAAUCCCCAAAUGCGUACCUGUUUAUUGAAAUGAAUUUCAGAUGACUACCUCUGAAGCCUGGUUGAGAUAAUACAAAGCUGUCAACAAGAUGACAAAGAUGACAUUCUACUUUGAAGAAUCUACAAUAUGAAAUCGAUUUUAUUUUUCUUCACACCUUUUUUUUGGUUCCUACGUGAUUCCGUAUGUUAUUUCACCGUUUUGAUGUCUUCAGUGUUUGACUGGUACUGAACCUCCCAGGGUCUUGCUGACUGCCGUCGGUUGUCAGUGUUUUCUGUGGUGGUUGCCAGCGGUACUUCUUCCCAGGUGGAACACAUGUGCCUGAUGUCACAAAACAGAACAGGCAUUUGCCAUUUGACCGAACUCUAAUCAUGGUGUCAUAUGACCGCCAUGUCACCAGGGCAAGAAUUUAAACAUUAUUUUCUUCACAUGUGAAUGGAUGCCAUUGUACUCACAUAUGUAAUAUACACAGAGACUCCUACUUCCUUUACGUGUGUGCGUGUGUGUGUGCGUGUGUGCGUGUGUGUGUGUUGGGGGCGUGUGUUGGGGGCGUGGUGUGGGGGGGGCGGGCUUGGCUUACAGUAUAUGGGACUACUGUGACCUAGUUUUGUAAUGUUUUGAUGUAGAUCACUCACCAUUGAGAUGUUGUGCACAGUUUUGUAUCUUCAUCUUGUAAGGUAUACAGAACGCUUACUGGGCUGUCCUAUGGGGGAGAUGAACGAAAGAGUGACCCUAUUUUUUUUGAUCGAACAGACUCUGUACCUUUCAACCACGUUGGUUUGAGACGGAUGUGUGUUUACGAGGUCAGGGCUUUUUAUUUUUUAUGGCUAUGGUAGCGGGGCAACAAAAAGAAAACACUCACACCGAUAGAGAGGCUACUAAGAAUAGAGGAAUGUUUUUGUCUUGCCUUGGACACAACAGCUAUUACAAGUGGUGACCAUGCAGAUAGGUCCUUGCAGUCUUUUCCUUCUCUUUCCAAACAGAUACUGGAAGCUGUCCAAUCUGUGUAAAUGGUCUCAACUCGUCCACCAUUGAAGAUAGCUUUAUUGUUGCCGCCACACUAUUUUGCUAUUCAGUAAAUAAUGUAUAUUUAUUGAUAUUUCAUACGUUGUGUAUAUGUAGUGACCUAUGAUCAUCGAGGUUCAAAGAGUAAUUGUAUAUUUUUUUGACUUUGGAAAGAGGAGUGUGUCUCUUACAUUGUGUCCUUCCACUGCGCUGGUGUUUCAAUCUCCACUUUCUGUGGUCAGAUGUUUAAAUAUGUGACUGUCUCUUACCUUAUAUUUUGAAUAUAUUCUUUUUCUCUAUUCUGGUCAUAACUAAUGCAGACGUUUUGAAUUGAUCAAAGCACAUUCCUUAUUUUCUUGUGUUCUUUCGAAUGCUUUCCUGUUGCGACAAUACAAAAUUUGUUUAUACUAAUUGCUACUCACGUGUAUAUAAGUGCAUAUACCGGUAUGUGUACACGUUCAAUACACGAUAUUUGAGCAAUCUAUUACUGUGACUAUUAUUGAUGAAAAUAGCUGUCCCUUUGAAUUAUCCCUUUUUUCAUGAAUUGCAUUGUGCACAGCGCCACCUCAUGGGUUCCCUGAAUUGCAUUGUGCACAGCGCCACCUCAUGGGUUCCCUGAAUUGCAUUGUGCACAGCGCCACCUCAUGGGUUCCCUGAAUUGCAUUGUGCACAGCGCCACCUUGUGGGAACAGUGCAAUUGCAGCAAGGAUCUUAAAGGGAAGGUCGAGUCUCAUUACUGUUUUAUUUCAGGUUUUGUGUAAAUUAAAAAAAAAGCCCUUUUUUAUUACUCUCAUUGUAAUGUUGUGA